rnacentral:rRNA from 1 species
GACGGAAGGUGCAAGCGUUGCUCGGAAUCACUGGGCGUAAAGGGUGCGUAGGCGGCCGCGCAAGUCUGGCGUGAAAGCCCCGGGCUCAGCCCGGGAAGGGCGCUCGAAACGGCGCGGCUCGAGUGCCGGAGGGGAGAGUGGAAUUCCUGGUGUAGCGGUGAAAUGCGUAGAUAUCAGGAGGAACACCAGUGGCGAAGGCGGCUUCCUGGACACCAACUGACGCUGAGACGCGAAAGCGUGGGGAGCAAACAGG